rnacentral:rRNA from 1 species
UCCCAGACUCCUACGGGAGGCAGCAGUGGGGAAUAUUGCACAAUGGGGGGAACCCUGAUGCAGCGACGCCGCGUGAGUGAAGAAGUAUUUCGGUAUGUAAAGCUCUAUCAGCAGGGAAGAAAAUGACGGUACCUGACUAAGAAGCCCCGGCUAACUACGUGCCAGCAGCCGCGGUAAUACGUAGGGGGCAAGCGUUAUCCGGAUUUACUGGGUGUAAAGGGGGCGCAGACGGCAGCGCAAGCCAGGAGUGAAAGCCCGGGGCCCAGCCCCGGGACUGCUCUUGGAACUGCGCGGCUGGAGUGCAGGAGGGGCAGGCGGAAUUCCUGGUGUAGCGGUGAAAUGCGUAGAUAUCAGGAGGAACACCGGUGGCGAAGGCGGCCUGCUGGACUGCAACUGACGUUGAGGCCCGAAAGCGUGGGGAGCAAACAGGAUUAGAUACCCUAGUAAC